UGGAAAAGACAAGAGGAGCAGUUGGAGCAAAAUUGCAACCACAGUUGAUAAACCCGGUAACUUUUCAGCUGUUCUUCGUUAGCGUGACGUAAAUAGGUUAUAAUGAUUUUCAUUCAGUCAGGACUUUACGCUGACACUAGCCACAU